AAAAGUAUGGCUUAGUUGGUCAGAGCGUUGAACGGUUUCCAAAGAGGCGCGGGUUCAAUUCCCGCUACGUUCA
rnacentral:tRNA from 1 species